AGUGAACGCUGGCGGUAGGCCUAACACAUGCAAGUCGAACGGCAGCACAGUAAGAGCUUGCUCUUACGGGUGGCGAGUGGCGGACGGGUGAGGAAUACAUCGGAAUCUACUUUUUCGUGGGGGUUCACGUAGGGAAACUUACUCUAAUACCGCAUACGCCCUACGGGUGAAAGCAGGGGAUCUUCGGACCUUGCGCGAUUGAAUGCGCCGAUGUCGGAUUAGCUAGUUGGCGGGGUAAAGGCCCACCAAGGCGGCGAUCCGUAGCUGGUCUGAGAGGAUGAUCAGCCACACUGGAAGUGAGACACGGUCCAGACUCCUACGGGAGGCAGCAGUGGGGAAUAUUGGACAAUGGGCGCAAGCAUGAUCCAGCCAUACCGAGUGGGUGAAGAAGGCGUUCGGGUUGUAAAGACCUUUUGUUGGGAAAGAAAAGCAGCAGGUUAAGACCCCGCUGUUCUGACGGUACCCAAAGAAUAAGCACCGGCUAACUUCGUG
rnacentral:rRNA from 1 species